rnacentral:rRNA from 1 species
AUGCGAGUGAGAAUGCAGGCAUGAGUAGCGUGUGACGGGUGGGAAUCCCGUCCGCCGAUUAUCCAAGGGUUCCAGGGUCAAGUUUGUCUGCCCUGGGUGAGUCGGGUCCUAAGGCGAGGCCGACAGGCGUAGUCGAUGGGUAACCAGUUGAUAUUCUGGUACCGGCUUGUCACCGUCCGUGUCGAGGU